UACGGGGGGGGCAAGCGUUGUUCGGAAUUACUGGGCGUAAAGGGCGCGUAGGCGGAUAGUUUAGUCAGAGGUAAAAGCCCAGGGCUCAACCUUGGAACUGCCUUUGAUACUGGCUAUCUUGAGUACGGGAGAGGUGUGUGGAACUCCGAGUGUAGAGGUGAAAUUCGUAGAUAUUCGGAAGAACACCAGUGGCGAAGGCGACACACUGGCCCGUUACUGACGCUGAGGCGCGAAAGCGUGGGGAGCAAACAGG
rnacentral:rRNA from 1 species